UUUUCUACAUCAUUGUAUGAAAAUAAAGUUAAAACAUUAUUACUUUCCUAAUAAUUUUCGAAAGUUUUAUUUAUCAAAAUAAAGUUUAUAAAUUACAAAAUAUUAAAUACUAAUAAUUAUUAUUAUUACCUAUUGCAUUGUAGCCUUUCAGUAGUUUAAGACAAUAGGUAUUAGUUCUAAAUACAUUACGCUAGAAUAGAGUUGUAGCCUUUCAAUUUUCUACCAAAAUCCCAUUAACACAUCUAUAGUGUUUUAGCGAGAGAAAGAAAAAGAAAGAGAAAGAUAAAGAGUGAGAGAAAGGAAAAAGAACUUAUAGAUCGAUGUCUCAAAAAGAGGAGAGAGGAGCACACCGGCGAUGACAGAGAUUGUUACUUGCUUGUCACAGUUUCAGAAUGAGUUCAAUAAACAAGUGAAGACAGCCAACGGGUAAAGGGGAAGAGGAGAGGGUGUGUUGAUCAUUUCAAAGACGGCGUCAAUAUUUUCUCUUCAAAUGUCCGAUCCAGUUGAUUACUCCGGCUGUGCCGAUUUUUACUAGUACUUUCGAUAGCAAGGGGAAGAGCUCGGGAUGACUGCAGUGCACACACCAUCGUUUUAGCGUGGGAUGUUUUUACUCUGAUAUGUUUUGACAUAUGUUUAUGACAUUUGGAGAUACAUGACUUAUGAUUUUUAUAUGAUGAGUUAUUUAUGGGUUAUUUAAUGAUUUAAAAUAAAAUUUUUGGACUGUGAAUUUGGGGA